ensembl:lncRNA
CUGCUAAGUGAGGGAGAACCACUGGCCUUAGCUGCUCUGUUCCUUGUGAACUUUAUGCUCUCAGAGUCUUCACGCUGUGCUGUGCAGGAUAAAUCUGUGAUUUCUAGUGGCUGCCACUGAUUUCCUACAGGAGGGCACUGUGGAAGGAAGGAGAGGUGGUACGCAUGGGGAAAGAUCAAAGUGCUUUCAGAGAUCUGCAGUAGUAUCGCAUUCUUCUUUCGAUUACGUGAGUGCAGCUGAAGACCUGGAGCAGCAGUGAUGAGGUGCAUGCACUGCAGCUACUCCCUUCCCUAUUCUCAUAGGAAGCUCAUGCGUUGAGGGAAGAAGUUCCCAGAGCUUUCUGUGCUGGUGAAAGAGGCAGCUGUGCUAAUUCUGAUACCGAGUAUUCUCUUACAAACUGAGAUGCUGCAAAACUCCUCAGAAGAGCAGAAAAGGAAGACUUACACCUCCGUCUGACACAGUUAAAAUCUCUCCCUGUGCACUUAUCAGCUUGCAUAUCUCUGUGAAACUCUGUGCUUCAGCGAGGGCUACAUCACUAGGCAACUACUGCAAAGAAACAUGAGUUCUACAGGAUUUCAGGGAAGAAUUCUUCCUCUACUUUUGUUCACUUCUGAGUUUGCUUCUUGGCACCCUCUUCCUUAAUGUGAGGUCAGCCAGAGUACUUUCACAGUUUUUCCUGUCUGUUUUGUCGUUUGUUUCUGUUUCGCAGGCUUACAGCUCCGAAGUCUUUCCAAGAGAGAAGAGAAACCAAACUGGAAGAUGAGAGCAUUGCACAGGCACCAAAUGCUGUUUCUGUUCAACCUUUGUUUCAUCGAGAAAACACCAAGAGACAGGAUAGAAGCAUGAAGGUGGUAAUUAACCACAUAGCUGAUUUUGGACUGUUACUAUGCUACCAGAAAAACAUGCUGGGAGAAGCCAUCAUCCACCGUGAAUGAGUUUUCUUGUAUAAGGAAUCCACUUGUUUAUGAGACUCACUUUAAACAAUAACAGAAUCACAAAAUCACAGAGUUGUAGGAGUUGGAAAGGACCUCUAGAAAUCAUCGAGUCCAACCUCUUCUGCUAAAGGAGUUCCCUGCAGCAGGUCACACAGGAAAGUGUCCAGGUUGGUUUUGAAUAUCUCCAGAGGAGACUCCACAACAUCUCUGGGCAGCCUGCUCCAAUGCUCUGCCACCCUCACAAUAAAG